rnacentral:lncRNA from 1 species
CCUGCGCCGCGCGCACGCUGCCAAUUUCCCUGCGAGCUGGCACCGCAGGCGGCGGCGGCGGYGGGGAGGCUGGGGAGGACGGGUUGUGAAAGGGAGAGGGAGGAAAAAAAAAAAAUGGACACAUGCCAUCGCUGGAGCGGCGAGGCUGCCGCUGCCAAAAUGCCAGCAGGCAGCGCGGGGCCAAACGCGCCGGCGGCAGAGAGGAGGGUCUGCGAGCCCGUCCUGACGCAGGCGGCGGCGGAGCUGGCAGCGGCGGCAGGACCGGAGCGCCGGGCGGGCGACGCGGAGACGCCGGCAGCCGGCCGAGGCAGGGCAGGUGGCGGACGGGGGAGCCGGAGGAGGAAGAGGUUCCCCCGUGGAUGCCGGGCCCAUGGUGCUGCCUUCGCCGGCACACCGCCCUCCACGCCGGACAGAGCGGCAUCCGCCGACCCGCCACCGCUGCGCUGCAGCCCCGACCCCGGAGCAGCCCCCGGGCAGCGGCAGGAGCAGCCGGGCCGCGGCAGGACGUGCAACGCUGGUCCUCGUCGGGACGCGCCCGCCGCUGCCGGAGCUGCACGCGCUGGGAUGCGGCUGCGGGCCGGGACCCCCCCGCCGCCGGUUUUCGGCAUCCCCGAGAGCACGCCGACGCAAAGGAGCGGGUUCACCCCGGUGCACGUGGCGCUUUAGCAAACAUGGUCCGGGCACAUCGGCUGCUGCAGGGACACGGAYGUGGCCUGCGGAGGAGGAACAUCCCCCGGCCCCACGGGAUGCAGGAGAUGGAGGCAGCAUCGCUCCCGGAUGCUGCACGUUCACUGAAUGAGGGAAGAGGUGCAGGGACACAGCGUGCUCGCACCACCGCGCUGGCCACCAGCUCGUCCCCCUGCACUGGCAAGGCCACCCCACCCCGUCCCGCCCCGGCUGGCAGGGCGCCUGCAGACUCUUGCAACUACUCGGGUUUUGGAAGCGAGGAGCGUGCGGGCAGGAGGGCUGGGUGCUGCCGGGUGCCGUGGGGCACCGUGGGGCGCCKUGGGGUGCCACGGGCCCCGCCGGCGGGGCUGCCGGUCACUGCCGGGUUACAUCUGCCGGGGCACGCAAGAGUGACUCCAGAUGCAUUAGAAGUGCCACGCUCGAAUUUCAAUUUCAUCGUCUCACAAUCAUUUUCAGGCUCCUCUUAGUGCCACAUUAACGAAGCCUGCUCGUUUGAAUGCAUAAUUAGCCCAAGCAUUCUACCUCGCUAAUUUCGAAGCAGGAGAAGAGAGUGGGGGGGGGGAAUUUGCAUAUUAAUUUAGCAGAGGGAGAGAAAAAUUGUUUACCACUUGCUUCUUGCUGUUGAUCACAGCGGACUUAACUCUUUCCCGGGUGCCAUCUGGAGCCGCGGCGCUGGGCGCCCGCCCGGCACAGGGGACGGCACGCAAAGGUCAGGCGGCGGCAAGGCAGCACUGCUGCGGCACCGCGGCCGCCCCGGUGCCCCGGGGCCACGGGCAAGGUUGGCUGGCGGCGGGGGCACCCGGGGGGGCCGAGCAGUGUCGCGUGUGCUCCCGGGCCACAGUGCUGAGCACGGGCAGCUCGCUGCACCCCUGGCACGGCCGCCACCGGCUCUGAGGAUGCUUCCAGCCGUGUCCACCAUCUCCAGCCUUCGGGAGCCAGUGGGAGCGGUGGCAGGGAUGCCGGCGGGGGAUGCUGGGACCGCUGCAUCCACCGCACGUGCAGGGAGCUGCAUCGCCUCGGCAGCGCCGAGCAUCCGCGGAGCCGCCGCGCCAGCCGCACAGCCCGCCGAGCCCGGCUGGAGCCGUCCCGCGUGUCCGGCGCGUGCCGGGAGCGGCUCCGGCGCGGGGCGGCCCGCGCAGGGUUAACAGCUGAUUGCAGCCUUUGUCUCCGCAUCGGUGUACAUAAUGCGCCCCGCAUUUGCAUACUGCAGUGUGCGCUCAAUUAAAAUGAACUUUUAAUUUCUUCUAAGUAAAUUACUUCUUCCCGCUACGUGAUGCGCACAAAUGUCAGAAUAAUGGGAGAGCCUUAAUGAGCUGGGAACGAGGGGCGGGGAGGGGAGCGCCGCCG